ACUCGCUACUCAACCGCGUCUCCGUAAUAUUUUCCCGCCGUCAACGAAAGCAGAAGCGAAUUGAAAUCCUUCCGCGAAACCAGCAGCGCUCCCGAAACGGGCUACGGGAAGGAAGUGGGCAAUUUCGGUGUGAUGGAUUUAUUCCUUCCUUUCGCGCCGCUCCACACCGUUGGCAUAUCUUUCGCGCCCAAGCUGAGGACUCUCUCUCUCUCUCUCCCUCCGCGAGGACUUUAAAGUUCAACCCUCCGCGCAACAAUCAAAACCGGGCGGCAAAGCGCAGUUACUGUUUUCUUUUAUUAAAUAAAGCCUAAACUUUAGGCACACA